AUUCCCCUAGUAACUGCGAGUGAAGCGGGAAAAGCUCAAAUUUAAAAUCUGGUGGUCUUUGGCCAUCCGAGUUGUAAUUUAGAGAAGCGUCUUCCGCGCUGGACCGUGCACAAGUCUCCUGGAAUGGAGCGUCAUAGAGGGUGAGAAUCCCGUCUUUGGCACGGACGCACCAGGGCUUUUGUGAUGCGCUCUCGAAGAGUCGAGUUGUUUGGGAAUGCAGCUCAAAAUGGGUGGUGAACUCCAUCUAAAGCUAAAUAUUGGCGAGAGACCGAUAGCGAACAAGUACCGUGAGGGAAAGAUGAAAAGCACUUUGGAAAGAGAGUGAAACAGUACGUGAAAUUGUUGAAAGGGAAACGCUUGAAGUCAGUCGCGUCGACCGAGACUCAGCCUUGCCUCGGCUUGGUGUACUUCUCGGCCGACGGGUCAGCAUCAAUUUUGCCCCUUGGAUAAUGGCGAGGGAAAUGUGACACCUUUACGGUGUGUUAUAGUCUCUCGUCGCAUGCAAGGGUUGGGAUUGAGGAACUCAGCACGCGCCUUUGGGCGUCGGGGCUUUGCCCACGAUACGUGCUUAGGAUGUUGGCGUAAUGGCUUUAAACGACCCGUCUUGAAACACGGACCAAGGAGUCUAACAUGCCCGCGAGUGUUCGGGUGGAAAACCCGUGCGCGCAAUGAAAGUGAAAGUUGGGACCUCCGUCGUGGAGGGCACCGACGCCCGGACCAGACCUUCUGUGACGGCUCUGCGGUAGAGCGUGUAUGUUAGGACCCGAAAGAUGGUGAACUAUGCCUGAAUAGGGUGAAGCCAGAGGAAACUCUGGUGGAGGCUCGUAGCGAUUCUGACGUGCAAAUCGAUCGUCAAAUUUGGGUAUAGGGGCGAAAGAC
rnacentral:rRNA from 1 species